CCUACGGGAGGCAGCAGUAGGGAAUAUUGCUCAAUGGGGGAAACCCUGAAGCAGCAACGCCGCGUGGAGGAUGAAGGUUUUAGGAUUGUAAACUCCUUUUGUGAGAGAAGAUAAUGACGGUAUCUCACGCAUAAGCACCGGCUAACUCCGUGCCAGCAGCCGCGGUAAUACGGAGGGUGCAAGCGUUACUCGGAAUCACUGGGCGUAAAGAGUGCGCAGGCGGGCUUGUAAGUCAGAUGUGAAAUCCUGUAGCUUAACUACAGAACUGCAUUUGAAACUAUGAGUCUAGAGGGUGGCAGAGGUAGGUGGGAAUGUGGGGGUAGGGGUAAAAUCCGAAGAUAUCAAGAGGAAUACUCAUUGCGAAGGCGACCAAAUGGAACAUUACUGAAGCUCAUGCAAGAAAGCGUGGGGAGCAAACAGGAUUAGAUAACCCUGGUAGUC
rnacentral:rRNA from 1 species